GACGAACGCUGGCGGCGUGCUUAACACAUGCAAGUCGAACGGUAAGGCCCUUCGGGGUACACGAGUGGCGAACGGGUGAGUAACACGUGGGUGAUCUGCCCUGCACUUCGGGAUAAGCCUGGGAAACUGGGUCUAAUACCGGAUAGGACCACUGCCUGCAUGGGUGGUGGUGGCAAGCUUUUGCGGUGUGGGAUGGGCCCGCGGCCUAUCAGCUUGUUGGUGGGGUGAUGGCCUACCAAGGCGACGACGGGUAGCCGGCCUGAGAGGGUGACCGGCCACACUGGGACUGGGAUACGGCCCAGACGCCUACGGGAGGCAGCAGUGGGGAAUAUUGCACAAUGGGCGCAAGCCUGAUGCAGCGACGCCGCGUGAGGGAUGACGGCCUUCGGGUUGUAAACCUCUUUCAGCACCGACGAAGCGCAAGUGACGGUAGGUGCAGAAGAAGGACCGGCCAACUACGUGCCAGCAGCCGCAGUAA
rnacentral:rRNA from 1 species